rnacentral:rRNA from 2 species
UGCGGAAGGACAUUAC